ACCUAGCGUUAGGGAUUACGGCGACAUCCUUUUGUGUGGAGCCCAGAGGUUCUCGAAGGGAUCUACAUAAAAGAUACAGCCAAAAGCCCGACCCACU
rnacentral:misc_RNA from 1 species